CUAUCAUCUAGUCUCAGCAAAGACAAAAAGAACACAGGAAAAAUACAAAGAUGACCAAAUGGCUCUUCUCCUGGCAAACAGGACUGGCAUUUCCAAUUAAUUACAGCUCUAGCCUUUCUGUUCCUCCGCCACCUCCUAAAUACAGUUAUUAAGAUGCCUAAUUGUAAAAUUGUCCCACUUUCUGACAGCGCCCUAUUCAGAGCAAUAGGCUUCCUAAACUUUCCCCAGGUCACCUAACCCAAACCCUGAGGUCCUAAGAAGCCCCUCUGAACACCCUCCUGUGAAACACCCAUGAAUCCCAGUGGCAUAUGGUCUUUCUUGUUGCAGCGAGUGCCAAUACACCCAACUUUGACCAUAGGUAUGUUCCUGGUGGACAGAAGCCUAAAGGAAGAUGGCUAGUGUUGAUCUAUUAAAAAAGGAAGGAGAUAUUCCCAGCUCCAGAAUUGCUCACUAGGGUCCAUUUGGGCUCUGUCCCUGAGGGAACUUUUGUUAGUUGGUUUCUACUGCAGAUGUUUUUGGUGUCCCAUGUCACAUCCCUGGCCCUCCAUGGGAUUUCAGCUCAGCUCUGGUGGACACUUCCAUAUGGGCUCAGAUGCAUCUUGCCCAACAUCCAGGUCAGGCCUGGACCUCUUCAGUUUUCUGCCUUGAAGCUUCAGAAGCCUUGGAGCCUGCUCUCCUCUUGCAAGUGCUGUCUGCAAGGUCUAUUGGUCCUGGAUGUAAACUUCAACCAAUAAGGAUGAGAGUUUGUUAAAAAAAAAAUGUCCCAGCCUGCUGCCCAUUAGAUGGAUUGCUUGGAACAUCUGGUUCUGCCAGCCUCUCAAAUUUGGAAGCAUCCAACUCCAUUGCUCAUAACACCCUUAUAUUGGCUUUUCUUCCUUCCCUGUCUCACUGUCUAUGCUCCCUCACUCUUGCUUCCUGGGGUUACCUCCCAAAUAAACUACCAGCAUCCAAGGUCCUAUUAGGGUUCUACUCCUAGAUGACCCCAAAAUAAUGUCUCUCCAGCAAUCUUCACCACCAUCUCCUUCCUGCAGAAUUUUCAAAAAUAAUUUUGUUUGUUCUUUUUAGUUAUACAUAACAGUAGAAUGUAUCUUGACAUACUAUAAAUACACAGAUUAUAACUUCUCAUUCUUGUGGUUGUAUAUGAUGUGGAGUUUCACUGGUCAUGUAUUCAUAUAUGAACAUAGGAAAAAGUUUUGUCUAAUUCAUUAUACUGUCGUUCCUAUUCCCAUCUCCCCUCCCUUCCCUUUAUUCCCCUUUGUUUAAUCAAAAAUACUUCUAUUUUCCACCUCCCCACUUAUUGUGUGUUAGCAUCUACAUAUCAGAGAGAAUGUUUGGCCUUUGGUUUUUGGAGAUUGGCUUAUUUCACUUAGCAUGAUAAUCUCCAGUUCCAUCCAUUUACCAGCAAAUGCCAUAAUUUCAUUCUUCCUUAUGGAUGAGUAAUAUUCCAUGGUGUACAUAUACCACAUUUUCUUUAUCUGUUCAUCUGUUGGAGGGCACCUAGAUUGGUUUUAUAACUUAGCUAUUAUGAAUUGAGUUGUUACAAAUAUUGACGUAACUGAGUCAUUGUAGUGUACUGAUUUUAAGUUCUUUCGGUAUAUACCCAGGAGUGAGAUAACUGGGUCAAAUGGUAAUUCCAUUCCAAGUUUUCUGAGGAAUCUCCAUACUACUUUCCAGAAGGGUUCCACCAAUUUGCAGUCCCACCAGCAAUAUAUGAGAGUCCCUUUUUCCCACAUCCUUGCCAACAUUUAUUGUUAUGUAUUCUUGAUAAUUGCCAUUCUGACUGGAGUGAGAUAAAAUUUCCAUGUAUUUUUAACUUGUAUUUCUCUAAUUGUUAGAGAUGUUGAACAUUUUUUCAUAUAUUUGUUGACUGAUCAUGUUCUGUGAAGUGUCUCCUGCAGAAUUUCUUAACCACAAUGUUGACUGGAACUAUUUCCACCUCCAGCUCCAACCAAUUAUUUCCCAAGCUCCUGGUCCCAGGAAUUGGUUCAGGGCAGGCAUCAUCUGUUCAGUCAGGGUGAACCUCAGAGUUUUUCAUGGGGAUUCUGGGACAUAGACUCAGUCUUGGACUUGGUUUAAAGAUGGCUGCACAUUUUCUGUUAUUCCUCCUUUUGAUAAGUGAGGCUUGUUUCCUCGCCCCCUUGAGAUGGGUCUGGUCUGGGAUUCUUUUGAGCAAAAGUAAUACAGUGGAGAAGACACUACUUGAGUUCCAAGUUGGCCUUUAAGAGGGCUGGUGAGUUCCACAUUGAUCUCUAGGUACACCAAGGCACAGUCUAAGAAACAUGACUACUCUCCUGCAGAAAACAUGGGAGUUGAAGUCCUGAGAUGACAUGGAGAGGCAAGAGACUCUGAGCCCAGCCUGCCUGACAUCCUGCCAUGAGAGUUCAGCUCUUUUGAACCCUAUAGAUUAGACCAACCAUAGCUGAAUGCCAUGGAGUGAUACCACUUGGUACCCCGUGAGGCAGAGGAACUGCCUUGUUGAGCCAUGCCUCACUCUAGCCCCACGAAACUGUGAGUGAUAAUAAUGAAGCAGUUGUUGUUUUAAGCUGCUAAGUUUAGGUGUAGUUUGUUACUCAGCGAUAGAUAACUGAGCAGUGUAGGGGGUGGAUGUGAGGUAUGGAACUGUUGCAGCCACAUGGAAAGAACUUAAAUCCAUCUGUAAAGAGAUCAGGAUAAAGGCUUUUUACAUUUGAAUGCAGAUAAGAACUCUCAGGUGUCUAAGCCUAGGGUACGUUCUGUGACUUUUACUUUCCAUCUUCAUUCUACUGGAUUCUGGGUCCAAAAGAAAGCUCUUACCAUUUCAAUUAAAGUUCAGUAAGGAUAUAUUAUGUGCCUAUGCAAAGUUGGAUACUGUGUUAGGAACUCUGGUGGAAGAAAU
rnacentral:lncRNA from 1 species